CUUGGUCAUUUAGAGGAAGUAAAAGUCGUAACAAGGUCUCCGUUGGUGAACCAGCGGAGGGAUCAUUACAGAGUUAUCCAACUCCCAAACCCAUGUGAACUUAUCUCUUUGUUGCCUCGGCGCAAGCUACCCGGGACCUCGCGCCCCGGGGGGCCCGCCGGCGGACAAACCAAACUCUGUUAUCUUCGUUGAUUAUCUGAGUGUCUUAUUUAAUAAGUCAAAACUUUCAACAACGGAUCUCUUGGUUCUGGCAUCGAUGAAGAACGCAGCGAAAUGCGAUAAGUAAUGUGAAUUGCAGAAUUCAGUGAAUCAUCGAAUCUUUGAACGCACAUUGCGCCCAUUAGUAUUCUAGUGGGCAUGCCUGUUCGAGCGUCAUUUCAACCCCUAAGCACAGCUUAUUGUUGGGACUCUACGGCUUCGUAGUUCCCCAAAGACAUUGGCGGAGUGGCAGCAGUCCUCUGAGCGUAGUAAUUCUUUAUCUCGCUUUUGUUAGGCGCUGCCCCCCCGGCCGUAAAACCCCCAAUUUUUUCUGGUUGACCUCGGAUCAGGUAGGAAUACCCGCUGAACUUAAGCAUAUCAAUAAGCGGAGGA
rnacentral:rRNA from 1 species